rnacentral:rRNA from 1 species
GACGAACGCNGGCGGCGUGCCUAAUACAUGCAAGUAGGACGCACAGUUUAUACCGUAGCUUGCUACACCAUAGACUGUGAGUUGCGAACGGGUGAGUAACGCGUAGGUAACCUGCCUAUUAGAGGGGGAUAACUAUUGGAAACGAUAGCUAAUACCGCAUAACAGUAUGUAACACAUGUUAGAUGCUUGAAAGAUGCAAUUGCAUCGCUAGUAGAUGGACCUGCGUUGUAUUAGCUAGUAGGUAGGGUAAAGGCCUACCUAGGCAACGAUACAUAGCCGACCUGAGAGGGUGAUCGGCCACACUGGGACUGAGACACGGCCCAGACUCCUACGGGAGGCAGCAGUAGGGAAUCUUCGGCAAUGGGGGGAACCCUGACCGAGCAACGCCGCGUGAGUGAAGAAGGUUUUCGGAUCGUAAAGCUCUGUUGUUAAGGAAGAACGAGUGUGAGAANGGAAAGUUCAUACUGNGACGGNACUNACC